rnacentral:lncRNA from 1 species
UCCACACUGUGGAAGCUUUGUUCUUUUGCUCUUUGCAAUAAAUCUUGCUACUGCUCACUCUUUGGGUCCAUGCUGCUUUUAUGAGCUGUAACACUCACCACGAAGGCCUGCAGCUUCACUCCUGAAGCCAGCGAGACCACGAGCCCGCCGGGAGGAACGAACAACUCCAGAUGUGCCGCCUUAAGAGCUGUAACACUCACCGCAAAGGUCUGCAGCUUCACUCCUGAGCCAGCGAGACCACGAACCCACCAGAAGGAAGAAACUCCGAACACAUCCGAACAUCAGAAGGAACAAACUCCAGACGCACCACCUUAAGAGCUGUAACACUCACCGCAAGGGUCCGCAGUUUCAUUCUUGAAGUCAGUGAGACCAAGAACCCACCAAUUCCGGACACAUUUUGGCGACCCAGAUGGGACUUUCGCCUAUCACCAAGCGGUGAGACCAUCACCUAUAGCUGAGCGGUGAGACCAUCACCUAUAGCUGAGCGGCGAGACCAUCACCUAUCACCAAGCAAUGGGAAACACUCAGGCAUCAACAGGCUCACCCUUGAAAUGCAUCCUAAGCCAUUGGGACCAAUUUGAUCCACAAACCUUGAAAAAGAGGCGGCUCAUUUUUUUCUGCACUAUGGCUUGGGCCCAAUAUUCUCUCUCUGAUGAGGAAAAAUGGCCACCUGAGGGAAGUACAAAUUACAAUACUAUCCUGCAGCUUGACCUUUUCUGUAAGAGGGAAGGCAAAUGGAGUGAAAUACCUUAUGUCCAAGCUUUCUUUUCAUUGAAGAAUCAAGGCCAUCAAGCUACAGAUGGGCUUAC